GUUCGCUUUAAAAUUCCUGACUAUGACAGAGCAACAAGUUUUAUUUCUCUCACCUGUGGAGGAAGUGGCCUCCACCCAGUUUUACUGAAUUAGGAGGGAAGUGAUUUUUUCAAGUGAUAAAAAGAAAUAAAAUUCCACGUUCUUCCCAGAGGAGGAGUUAACAAUUGGGAGAGUGGCGUGAGACCACAUGUUGGUUUGUAAAAGGAUAUAACUUGUAAAGAUGUUUCCUUUGAUGCCUGUGAUGAAUAUGGAUGUGUUUCCCUUUUAGAGGGUUCUGAUUAAAUGACUCAAUUAAGAGCAGAGCUGGAGGAUCUAAAUAUAGGGAGAGGGCUCAGGCGGCCCUGCCUUGCGUAUGUCACUCACCCCUACAGAUGUGCGUGUUUGUGGUCAUAAACAGCACCUGUGAGAUCGCUGGAGAAGGAGCAACGUUCCAAAACCUGAAAUACAGCAGGGUUGUAAGGAACGGAGAAGGCAAUGGCACCCCACUCCAGUACUCUUGCCUGGAAAAUCCCAUGGACGGAGGAGCCUGUCGUGCAUCGUUUUUCCCUGCGGUAGAGCUUUUGUGACACAGCGUGGUGGCUGGUUCUUGGUUGGCACAUGCGCAGUACAGGGGCCGCCUCUUCUGUUCCCGCACUCAGAGUUCACCUUGUUCUACUCGUGGAACUCCUUUCCUGCUGAGACCUGCACUUGCCUCAAGACUGCUCAGCACAGUCCUUGAACUUGGCAUACGGGGAGCCAGUUCGCUAACCGUGAGUUCACUGUUAACACAGUGGCUCUUCAGGAUGGAGCAUCUUUGUCUCUGGCCUCAGUGGGGUAGCCAAAGUACUUAGCAGGCACUCAGUGCAACUUCGUUGAAUGAAUGUCGAUUCCAGUAGUUAAAGCAAAGGUCUGAAAUUGUGGUCCUCAACCCCCACCUCCACCGCCACACACACACCUUCUAGGAUAAAUCCAUCAGUUCUAGAGUUUAAAAUAGCCCCAAGUGAUUUUGAUAGAAACUCACCCCCUCAAUUUGAAAACUAUUGACUGAAAUAUAAAAACGCAGCUUUUGGAGUUGAAGAAGAGGACAUACAGGGUAAGGAGAAAUGUAUUCUGUUGAUAAAUUGUUACUAGAGGACAAGGAAAAAAAGUUGUCUUUCUCGUUCUUUUGCACAAUUAACCUUUAGUAAAAGUAAAUAAUUAUUUCAGGAGGUACACUCUGACCAAGUGUGACUCUUGAUGAUAGCAUAGUGUUUUGUUUUCUCUUUUAUUGUUAGACAAAAAUAAUGCCACUUUCAAAGAACUGAUAAAUCUGAGUAAAACUCUUUACAGAAGGGAACAACUGAGUCCCUGUAGCCUAUUAAGUAAAGCUCCACCCUUGGCCUUCUAAUUCCUUCAGGGAGCUAAAUCAUUCAUCAAACAUUUAUUGAGACUCUGAUGUGUGCCAGGUAUAGGGCUCUGCUCCAAAGACAGAAGACAGUCAGAUAGAAUUCCUUUUUCCUCCAGUGAGGAAGUAACUGUUGGCAUGUGCAGUUUGCUGUGACAGCAGUCCAUCAUAAAUAUCCCUUUCAGUUCUCAGAAUCAGUAAUGCUUUCCCCCUUUUAUUCCUGUUACGGGUAAUCUGUGCC
ensembl:lncRNA